GGGCGGCCCGGCGCGGGGAGGGGGAAGGUGGAGAGCUGCCGCGGGCCGAGACUUUAAAUCGCCUUCAUUUCCCCCAAAUCCUUCCUUUUCCUCUCCUCCCCCAGGCCGGCGGGGAGGCAGCUUCCACCGCCCUCCGCGCGCCCUCGCCCGGCCUUGCUCUGCCUCCAGAGACCGCCAGCAGCCCGCCUCCAAAAGUUUGAUCAUCUCCCUCUUUUUCUUGCUUCUUCCUUUUCCGUGGAAGCAGAAAAAGAGCGAGGCAGGGGCGAGCGCUGCGCCCGGACUCCUGGGACCAUGGGCCUGGCGCGGGCGCCCGCGGG
rnacentral:lncRNA from 1 species